UACGGAGGGGGCGAGCGUUAAUCGGAAUUACUGGGCGGAAAGCGCACGUAGGCGGCGAAGUAAGUCGGGGGUGAAAGCCCCGGGCUCAACCUGGGAAUUGCAUUCGAUACUGGAUUGCUGGAGUACGGAAGAGGAGGGUGGAAUUCCCGGUGUAGCGGUGAAAUGCGUAGAUAUUGGGAGGAACACCAGUGGCGAAGGCGGCUCCCUGGUCCAGUACUGACACUCAAGUGAGAAAGCGUGGGGAGCAAACAGG
rnacentral:rRNA from 1 species